CAGCAUGUUUCCAAGGUUUAUGGCUUAACCAUGUGAUCUACAACCAUAUGGAAUAAUCUGGAGAGAGUUUGACUACACAGGUCAGCAUAAUACCUGUAGCUGUCAAUCAUUUUUCCUACAUUU
ensembl:snoRNA